rnacentral:rRNA from 2 species
AGACCCGAAACCCGGUGAUCUAGCCAUGGGCAGGUUGAAGGUUGGGUAACACUAACUGGAGGACCGAACCGACUAAUGUUGAAAAAUUAGCGGAUGACCUGUGGCUGGGGGUGAAAGGCCAAUCAAACCGGGAGAUAGCUGGUUCUCCCCGAAAGCUAUUUAGGUAGCGCCUCGUGAAUUCAUCUCCGGGGGUAGAGCACUGUUUCGGCUAGGGGGCCAUCCCGGCUUACCAACCCGAUGCAAACUGCGAAUACCGGAGAAUGUUAUCACGGGAGACACACGGCGGGUGCUAACGUCCGUCGUGAAGAGGGAAACAACCCAGACCGCCAGCUAAGGUCCCAAAGUCAUGGUUAAGUGGGAAACGAUGUGGGAAGGCCCAGACAGCCAGGAUGUUGGCUUAGAAGCAGCCAUCAUUUAAAGAAAGCGUAAUAGCUCACUGGUCGAGUCGGCCUGCGCGGAAGAUGUAACGGGGCUAAACCAUGCACCGAAGCUGCGGCAGCGACACUGUGUGUUGUUGGGUAGGGGAGCGUUCUGUAAGCCUGUGAAGGUGUGUCGUGAGGCAUGCUGGAGGUAUCAGAAGUGCGAAUGCUGACAUAAGUAACGAUAAAGCGGGUGAAAAGCCCGCUCGCCGGAAGACCAAGGGUUCCUGUCCAACGUUAAUCGGGGCAGGGUGAGUCGACCCCUAAGGCGAGGCCGAAAGGCGUAGUCGAUGGGAAACGGGUUAAUAUUCCCGUACUUGGUGUUACUGCGAAGGGGGGACGGAGAAGGCUAUGUUGGCCGGGCGACGGUUGUCCCGGUUUAAGCGUGUAGGUGUGUGUUCCAGGUAAAUCCGGUUCACUUUAACACUGAGGCGUGACGACGAGGCACUACGGUGCUGAAGCAACAAAUGCCCUGCUUCCAGGAAAAGCCUCUAAGCAUCAGGUAACAUCAAAUCGUACCCCAAACCGACACAGGUGGUCAGGUAGAGAAUACCAAGGCGCUUGAGAGAACUCGGGUGAAGGAACUAGGCAAAAUGGUGCCGUAACUUCGGGAGAAGGCACGCUGACACGUAGGUGAAGUGAUUUACUCAUGGAGCUGAAGUCAGUCGAAGAUACCAGCUGGCUGCAACUGUUUAUUAAAAACACAGCACUGUGCAAACACGAAAGUGGACGUAUACGGUGUGACGCCUGCCCGGUGCCGGAAGGUUAAUUGAUGGGGUCAGCGCAAGCGAAGCUCCUGAUCGAAGCCCCGGUAAACGGCGGCCGUAACUAUAACGGUCCUAAGGUAGCGAAAUUCCUUGUCGGGUAAGUUCCGACCUGCACGAAUGGCGUAAUGAUGGCCAGGCUGUCUCCACCCGAGACUCAGUGAAAUUGAACUCGCUGUGAAGAUGCAGUGUACCCGCGGCAAGACGGAAAGACCCC